GUUAAUUAAAAAAAUCAAGGUGCAGACAGGGUUUUCAUUGUGUGAUCUCCAUGUAAGAAAAGAACAAACCUCAUCUACACACAUUUGCCUGUAUGUGCACUGAGCUGGUAGCCUAGAAGAGACAGGGGACAGUGGCCAUCUCUAAGGAAGGGGCACUGUAUGCCUUUGACAGGGUGGGAGGGGCUUUUCACAAUGAGGGGCUUUUAACACACUUUUGAAUUUUGAACCAUGGAAUACUAUGCCUGGUCAUAAAUUCCAAUAAAAAAGCUGAAGGGCCCCAGGUGGGCCUGGGCAGCCUCCCUCAGCGUCGCCCUGUGUGAGAUCUUGGCAAAUGCAUGCAAUUCCACUAGGGCAGGCAUGUUUCAUCCAGGGCCUAGCGCCAGCUGACCACCUCCUUGGAGCCCAGCCUGGCAUUUGUGGUCAGAGGGGUGCUGAGAGAAGCUCACCUUCACAGUGACACCUUCCUCAUGGUCUGUUGUGGGUUGAACUGUGUCAUCCCAAUUCGUAUGUUGAAGUCCCAACCCCCACUGUCUCAGAAUGUGAUCUGGUUUGGAAAUAAGGUCUUUGCAGCUACAAUUCACUAAGCUGAGGCCAUUCUGGAGCGGGGUGGGCCUCCAAUCCAAUGUGAUGGGGUCCCUGUAAAAUGGGGAAAUUUGGACACAGACACACACAGGCAGAAUUCCACAUGGGCAGGAAGGCUGAGAUGGGAGUGAUGCUUCUACAAGCCAAAGAGCACCAAGGAUUGCCUGCAAAGCUCUGGAAACCAGGAGAGAGGCCCGGAAUGGGUUCUUGCUCAGAGCCCUUGGAGGGACCUAGCCUUUUGGACAACUUGAUCUCAGACCUCCAGCCCCCAGAGCUUGAGAAAACAAAUGUCUGUGACUCCAGUCCCCCAGUUUGUGGUGGUGCUUUGUUACAGCAGCUGCAGGAAAUCCAUAUGCCUUGUUUCAAGGGAAGUAGGCAGAUCUAUGACUCCUGCCUAGUGUUUGGUUUAGAGCUACCUUAACCUGUGAGGGAGCUGGACAGGCUCCGAGGCUGCCCCUGACCUCUGAGAGUGCCCACCCUGGCCCAGUACUUACUGUCAUUGGUCAUGUUCUUGGAGACUAUAGUGGACAGUAUCUCAGACAUCUUGGCUGAGGCCCAAGAGGUUGAUGCAAGGCUUCUCCUCUUCUAAAGGAGAUCCUCACCUGAGGAGUGACACAGUGCUUGAGCCUGGUGGUCCCCAAGCCCAGAGCUUCCUUCCCCCUGGGUGGCUGACAACCACCGACAUUUGCUGAGGGCUCACCUUGUGGGGACACCUGCCAGCUCCCUGCCUCUCCCACCCGAGGGUCCACUCUCACCUCCUGGACCUGGCUCUAGCUGCCUACUUUUUCUGUGCUUAGAACACAUCAAUCUUGGCCUCAAGCCUUUGCAUUUUUGGCCUCCUCGGCCAAAAAAUAUUCUCCCAUACCCAGCUGGGGGUGCUGGGUUUCCUUCUCUUCAAUUCCGAGCUCAAAUGUCACCUCUUUAGAGAGACCUCUCACCAUCCCAUCCAAAGUGGUUUCUUCCUCCCCACCCCCGUGUGGCCUUUAUUUUCUUCUCUGCAAUUCCCACUAUCUGACUAUCACUUUGAAAAUCCAUUCGUUGUCUAUUUCCCCCUAAAAUGUGAGCUCCAUGAGAACAGGGGGUCUUUUCUGCUCAUCCAAGCUCCUGACAUACCCAUGGCACUUCUUAACUUCAUCCCUUGAAUGAAUUUUCAUUUUUGCAGGGGAGGAAGCAGAGAUUCAGCGAGGUGUCCAAAGUCACAGUCAGGAGGGGCUGCCUCUGGAAAGGGCCCCCACUCUAAGCUUGUGCCAUUCCUGCCGCAUUCCUGCUGCAGCCCCCUAUUGGGUGAGCCUGGGGUUCGCACGGUCGCCUCCUAACACCCGCGCUCUGCAAGGCCCCGAGCCACACAGCGAGGUGCACAGGGAUGGUAGGACAGACGGGGUGGAUGGUAGAUGGGUAUGUUUCAAGCAAGUGGCAUGCGAGCGAGGAGCCUUGGAAGGCGCCUUGCAAGUCCGCUCCCGGCCACGCGCGCCCCUCGGGCCCUGGUUUCGCACCCCUGCCGCCGCCCCCACGCGCCCUCACGGACCCCGCGCGUCCCCUCCCCCGACCGCGAGCGCACCCACCGACCCCGACUGCCCCGGCUCGCUCCGAAGCCUCCGCGCUGCAGUUCUCAGCUCCAGGAGCAGGGCUCUUUGGUUUAGGUCUCCAAGGCAACCAUUCUUCAGGCUGGCUGUGACGCCACAAAGGCCGCGGAGGCUGGGCGCUUGAGGGCUGGGCCUGCAGGCCGCGGGACAGGGAGGGCGCGGGGCCGGGCUCCUGGGUCCGAACUCUGGGCACGAUGUCCUCCCUGACACCGCCAGGACAGCGCCUGGCCCAGGCCUGGGCCUGGUGAACGCGGGUUUCUUCCUCUGAGGUUCAACACUCCGCACUUGGGUUGGCUCCUUUCUUUCAUCCUGAUUGGUUUAUUCGCCACUUGCCAAGCACUGAAGAGGGCGUGCAGGCUGGAUACUUUUGGAGCAAAAAUAGCCCUGCUUCUUUCCUGGGGAGGGAUCGCACUUUCUAGAGAGGCGGUUCUCAAAGUAUGGUCUCAGGACUAGCAGCAUCGAAAAUGCUGGGAACUCGUUAGAAAAGCAAGUUUUCAAUCCUCGCCCCAGAAUCAGAAACUCGGGGUGGAGCCCAGCAAUGUGUGUCCUGACAAGUCCACGCGCGACCCCAGUGCUGGCUAGGGUUGCAAAGCCACUGCUCUACGGAGCGAGCGAGAUCCAUCAUAAUGGGACAAGCGAGAGGAUAAGGCCAUGCAGACCAGGAGAGAGGCUCCUUACACUGACAUUCAAAGUCCUCAAUGACCCGGCCCCAGCCUACCUCUGCAGCCUUAUCUCCCUACAAACCAUCAAAGCAGAACAAAAAGCUGUGCCUCCGAUUUAGGUUUUAGCAAACCACAAGAAGCACUUCAUAAACUGGUGACUCAAGUAGAAAGUACUGUUCCAUGCACUUGACACCAAUCCUCCCAUUUCACCUGCAUGAUCACCCUGCCUUUGCAUGAGUUGCCGGUGUGGACAGAGCAGGGACACAGUGAGGCAGCGGAUUCCAGCUUUGCUCUUACCUAGAACACACUGCCUCUCACCAGGAAUCGUCCUUCCAUUUUAUGCAGUUAUCCCAGACAAUGAUGCACAAGCUUUGGGAAAAAAACCCCACAAGUCCAAAGGUGUACUUCAUAAUAAAGGCAAGUUCUCUGUC
rnacentral:lncRNA from 1 species